UUUAGUGUAAAUUAUAAUUUUUAUAAUAAAUUUUUUAGGUGGAAUUUUAAAUUUAUUGAAGAUUUUAUUUUUAUUCUGAAGUUGGGAAAUCUUUAAGGUAAACUAGGAUUAGAUACCCUAUUAUUUUAGAUGUUAUUAUUUUUCUAUAAUUAUUGUUAGUUAAGUUCUUUAAAAUUAAACAAUUUGGCGGUAUUUUAGUCUAUUCAGAGGAACCUGUUUUUUAAUCGAUAGUCCACGAUAAUUUUUACUUUUACUUUAAAUUUAUAUAUCGUCGUUUUUAAGAAUUUUAGGAGGAUUAUAAUUUUUAGGAUUCUUUAUUUAGGAUAAGUUCAGAUCAAGGUGUAGUUUAUGUUAAAGUUAAAAUGGGUUACAUUUCAUUUAUGAGUGGUUCUUUUAAAAAAAUUUUUUGAUAAAAUGGAUUUGAUGGUAAAUUCUUUAUUUAUGGGAUUUGAUUAAGCUCUAAGAUAUGCACAUA
rnacentral:rRNA from 1 species